GGCCGGUUCAGUCAAAUCGUUUCAGAAUCAUAAUUUGGUCUGCUGAUAUCUUUAUCGCGAUGAACAUGGAGCAUGACAAGACCGCACAAUCUCUUGCCACUCAUGCAUGCUCUUUUCCAAGUUUUCAGUCGUUUCAGGGCAGUCUGUGUUUCUAAAGGUAGCACAUUAUCAUCAACACAAUGAUCAAUGUCUUCUUCCAAUUCCUUCUCCAUCAGCAAUUCGGUAGCAGCAUCGGUAGUAACAGUUUUGUUUGCAAAAGGGAAUUAAGUUUUCCUGUAAGCACCAUCAUACAGUCGCAGUUACAAAAUAUUAAACUC
rnacentral:lncRNA from 1 species